CGCAAAGGGGAGAGGGAGAAAGAGAAAGCAAGAGAGCAGUUCUGACUCGGAUAAAGAUGAAAGUGGUAAAGACACGAAUGAUGACAAUGAAGAAGAAAUAAGACCAAUAACAAAGAAACCCAGGAAGCAGCUGUUUAUCAAUGAAUUUUCAAGCGUAUCCUGUCAACAUAGCUCAACAGUCAGUGUGCCAACUGAAAG